GUGAGUACUGGCCAAGAGUUGAAAUUCUGCCCUUGCGUACAUAGCAACGUAAUCUUGAAUCUAUGGCCCUUAAAGGAAUUACUAAGCUUGUGUCUCUACUCUGUUUUUGAAACAGAAGGAGAGAAAGCAUUGGGUGAACUUUUGUCCUUGUGUUUUUGUGUAUGUAGCCACACACAUUCUUAAAAAAAUUUUAUGGAAAACAUUUUCCAUAAAAUAUAUUUUUUUUCUUUUCUUUUUUUCGGAGCUGGGGACCGAACCCAGGGCCUUGCACUUACUAGGCAAGCGCUCUUCCACUGAGCCAAAUCCCCAACCCCGUAAAAUAUAUUUUUGAACAUAUUCUUUCCCCUCCUUCAACUACCAUCCCACCCAAAUUUAUGUUCUUUAUCUUUCUUUCAAAAACCAAACAACAAAAACAACAACAAAAACAAAAGUCAAAGCAGAAUUUAAAGAGAGAAAAAAGAAACGCUGUGUCUUUGUUGGUGAACAUCACUUGGCAAACCUGCCUGAGGAUGGAGACAGCUUCUUUCUUCAAAUGCAUGCAGCCCUUGGGAUCCGAAGACCAAGGCCCGGGGUUGUGGGUCUCUAUGAGACAAAGUUAUUCAGCAGUUUGACAGACGGCAAAAAUCUGCCUCUGACUUUCCUCCAUAACUUCCAUGUAUGUAGAAAGGAGCCUGAUCACUGGACCUGGACUUCAAGGAGCCAGAGCUGAGGGUAAAGAUGGGGAAGCAUGAGAACCAGUGCCAAGCAGGAAGAGUAAGCUGAAACACCCUAAGGAAUGAGUCUCUUGAGUCCCCCUGGACUCAAGCCUGAAAUGCUGACACUGCUCCUUCAGCUCUCCUAGAGAAUGGAAGUCGUGUCGCUGGACUGAAGAUGAUUCAAGGCUGGAGACGCCCGUACCACGUGGACCUGAAAGCCAGUCUUUGAGAACACAAAAGCAUGUGUGCAGAGAAAAGCAAUCCAGAGAACACAGGGACCUUCGGAGUUUAAAAAAGAAUAACUUCCAUUUCAGAGGCCUGGGCUUCAUGAGGACAGAUCUUCUGUGAACUUCCUCUGUGCUUUUCCCAGAUUUCCUUCCUUGGCUUCAACUGUCCUCUUUCAUUGCUGGCCACUACAGUCCCCAAACAAAGACAGACUGUGGUCCAGGAGGUGAGUCAGAACCGGGUCAAAAACCAACUCCACACGGAAGCAAAGCAAGCUUAUAUUUUACAGCGCUAACAGAUAACAACUGGUCCGCUGUUAAUAAUUAUACCAACACUGAAGGAAAACACGGAUGUAUGGCCAUCCUUGCCAGGCGGGGAAACAGGGAAAUCAGAUAGAACUGCUUGUCUUUCCCAAACGUGCCUGGCAACCUGGAUCCCCGCUGCUUUAUCCGACUAUCUCGAUAACCUUCUCCAGACUCCUUUUCGACGAGAAACAGGACAGCAGGUCUCUCCAACCACAGAGUCUGUUCUUGUCGCCAGUCACUCUUCUUUCCUAACAGAUGGGCCUGGAGCUUGAGCUGAGGGGAGUGAUCGUUGAGAAGAGAAUCCUGCAAUCCGUACUCAUGCCUCAGAAAGCCCACGCAUCCCUAUUGAACGGGGCAAUGGUCCUCUGCGGUUCUCUGUUGCCUGAAAUGCCUUUCAGCUGGAAAAAAAAGCGCAAAGCAACAAAAGCCAUUUUGAAAUAAUUUAGGAGAAGUCCCAUUUUCACCUGAGUUAUUUUGAGCAGCGCAGGACACAAAAGAUCAGGGGGUCAGAAGUUUUCAGGUAAUUGCUUGUUUUCCUGCUCUAGCUGAUUGAAAACUCUCAAGCUUUCUUUUUCCAAACUUGAAUUGUCCUCGCAGUGCCAAGUACCCACCAUUUCGAGGUAAGAGCUGUGUGGCGCAAGAAAAGACUGAAUGGAGAAGAAAACUUGAUAUUUUGCUAAAGAGGAAGGUGGAAACGUAUCUCCAUCAAGGUUUGAUGUGAUCCCAGGUUUCUGUCUACAAAAGAGUCAAAUACAACGCGGAGUAAUUAAUUCCAAGUUCUGUAUCCAUUCUCUUCUCAGACUCUUCAGGGCCGAGAACCAGAAAAGUCAUAAUCAUACAAUACUGGGUGUCCAGGGCCCCUGAGAUUUGCUACCAUUGUGGGGAGUGUGCCAGCUACAGGGAUUGGUUACUAACUACCGUCUAUCCUUAGUAAGUGGAAGACCUCCAGAGUGGUAAAUACAGUUUAAUUCAAGGGGACAGGACCCAGACAGGCUGCGAGCUUGCCUACCCUGAUGGUCUAGCUUGAGGAGAGGUUUCAACUUUGAGCCUGAAGUCAGGCCUUGGAGAAAUUCCAGUCCAUGCUGCUCCUCCUGAUGGUGGUGUUAGGUCCACUGAUGGAAUCUACCUGGGAAGAGUCAGCCCCACACAGGCAUUUCCAAUAUAAUUUCUGACCUUGUGAGAAGGGGGAACAGAGAGGGAAGAAUUUGGAAAGAAGUUUCUGAACAAAGGGGAGUUGGAUUUGGCUGGAAUACCUGUUAGAGCUGAUUGGUAUUGUGCAUCCCAAGCCCUGAACUCAGCUCAGGUCGCAGGAGAAACCCACACUGGUCUCUCAGUGGUUAUCUGGAGGCUAGGAGAGCAUGACUGACAAGGUAAGUCUACUGAACCUGGUAAAGUAGAAAGAUGACUAUGGAGCAAUGAUAACUUAAUUGAAAGGAGGAAAGACUCUGUGUGUGUGCGUGUGUGUGUGUGUGUGUCUGUGUGUGUGAGAGAGAGAGAGAGAGACAGAGACACAGAGACACAGAGACUCAGAGACACAGAGACUCAGAGACAGAGACACAAAGACACAGAGACACAGAGACAUAGAGAGAAAGAGAGGAGAGGAGAAGAGAAGAGAAGAGAGAAGAGAAAAGACAAAACAAGUAUGGAUUUUGAGAACUUUAUAGUUUGUUUGUUUGUUUUUUUUGUAGUAUUCUUUAUAUCCCAUCACAUCUGGCCAGUACUUUCUUGAUUUUCCAUGCCCACAGAAUGCUCCCAUAGCCGUUAAAGGACACCACUCUUUCCUUUGUGAGCCACCCAAUCCUUGAGAAUUAUUAAAGUGUUCGCAUUAUUUUCCUUCUCCUUUUCCCACCCAACUCCCAAUCAAGAAAAAUACUUUAAACCAAAUUACUCGAAGGCUUAUGUCCCCAGCGAAUGUUCACAAAGCUUCUUUCCGUCCUCUGCUCCUCGAGAGUAAUCCAUAGUUGAGUAGAUCAGUAGCUCUGUUUGGCAGUAACUUACCAGUCAACAUCAUUCAUUCCAGCAACAUGGGAAGUAAUGAGAUGGCGAUGGGGUGUUAAGAGGUGGCAGUGAACACAGAGGUCAGUGGCUAUGAAACACAGCUCACAAGUGGGGAAUGAUUCUCUGUGGUGGAUGCUUGAUUAUUCCCUCCCAUCGGUGUUGUACUUUAUGCCUUUCCAAUCCACUUUGCCUCUUAUUUCUGACAAUCCCCCAAUAAAAACUACCUUUUCAUUUAUCUACGGAUCCAUGCCUUCCACACAGAGCAUUGCUAAAUAGGUUUCCUUGAUAAAUUGGAAUAUUUAUUUUAUUUUUUUAUUUUAUGCAGAUCAUGGUUUUGUAUAUAGUUUUCUUCCUACAAGUCAAAGUGUAAAUGUUCUUGGAAAUGAUUUUUUUUGCUUCAGUUUCCUACCAUAAAUGUUAAUAUUGACCUUUAGGUUGGAUGAAAAUUAUGACAGAAGAGGUGAGUUUUUUUUAAUUAGCAGCAGCAUGCUUUAUUCAAUAGUUCUGAUGAUUUGGUUUCCAGUGGUAUCAGUUGUCCAGCAGGUCAGGGAACCAUAUGUGUUUUGAAAUCACAUGAGGUUAUUUGCCAAAAGUGGGAUCAUCAUCUUUAGGGGAUCCCCAGACCCUUUUAUUAUCCAUUUAGCCUCAGAAUUUAAAUUGUGGCCAUAGAGCAGUGGAGAAAGAAGGAAAAGGGGAAGAGAUGGGAGGAAUAACUAUAACAAAAAUAGGAUUAUAAAUGCGUCCUGUAUUUAUGGUAAGAAUGAAAAGCAAAUUCAACUGAGGUCAUCCUUAACGGCGGUCCGCUUUGGUAUAGCACGGGGCUCCUAAUUUACUUUUUAUACUCUAGUCUUUCUUCAGACAUCACUAGCUUCCCAGCAACUAAGUCUUGUUGGGAUGUUUAGCAAAUCGGGCUCAUCGUUAAUAAAGACUUUUUUUAGGAAUUAUGAUUAAUGAACUUACUUUGAAAUAUCCUUACGUUUUUAAAGUAUGUGUUCAUGUCGGGGAAGGUUGUCUGCAUGAACGCAGUACUUGAAGCAGCUGGAAUAAAACAUUGGAACCCUGAGCUAGGGAACUUUGGCCUUGUGUCCUCCCGCCUUCCCUGGUCCUGGCUGCCUGCACAAGCAGAUUUCUACUCUCAGGCUCAUACUUCAUCCGCCUUGCAUUUCGUGCAAGCCCCACCCAAAGAAGCUGGGAAACCUGAAAUCACAUCUUCUUUGCUCUCCUUCUGUGCGGAGAGUUCUGUCAGCCUCUAGGACCUCAGCUUUUCAUUCUUCCACUCCAUGAUGAGCUUGUUGGCCAGGCCUUGUCUCUAGAGCCCGUGAAUAUUUUACUUCCCGUGGCAGAAGGAUUUUACAAAUGCAGUUAGGUAAAAUAUUAUUGAGAUGAGAAAUUAUCCUGGCGCACUCGGGUGGGCACGGCGAGACCACAGAAACUUCCGGGAGAGCUAAGGGAUGACAAGUGAGUGAGAAAGAGCUGCCCCUGGACACAGAGGUUGUGAGAUCAAAGUUAUCUGAGAAGAUAUAGAAAGGACACAUGAUGAUAGAUUUCUAGAAGGUAGAAGAGACAAGGGAAUGGGUUCUCUCCAGGAAUAAGGGUGGCCAUAAGCCUAAACCUUGAUUCAUUUUAGCUCUGCAAAACCAUUGUCUAACUUCUCGCUGGCAGAGCCCUAGGAUAACCAGUUGAUACUGUUGCGAGUUCCUGGGUGUGUGGCCUUUUGUUAUUUUGUUGCUGCUGCUUGGGAAUCUAAUUCAGUGUCUCCCUCUCUGCCUAUGAACCUCAGAGGUUAAUCAGAACUCUCAACGGCUCUGCUGUUGGUCAGUGCCUGGAGGAGGUGCCAGCUCUAAAUUCUUUGUUGCAUUUAGGCCUGAACGUGGAGGCUCAUCUGGAGUCCAUGGUAGACCCAUUUCCUCUGGAGCUUGGAGGGCCUUGACACAGACUUACAGGCCACACCUGCCUCUGAGCUUGUGUGUCACUGCAGGUGAACUUAGGCUUCGAGUUCAUAUCCUCCUGCAAUACCAGCAGAAUGCUUUCCCAGCACAUGCUGUGCACCAGGGCUUCUGUUCCACAGAGAAGCUAAGACAGUUUCUUGGUGCCAAAGUAAGGGUUUUUAAAUUAUCAUUAGUGCUAUUUACCAUGAACUUGGUGGGUGAGGGGAUUUUUGUCCUUUAUGUAGAUUGUCUCUGAAUCCUUGAAAAAUUUAUCCCCGGGGACUGAGGUCUUUGUUUCUUCCCAUUCUAAUGAUCUUGCACCUUUUAUUCUCUAUAAAUAGUUAUAGGGAAAGUUUUUCGCCGAUGAAACCCACCUACAACCUUAGAUCAGGCUCUUGCAGAAGCUGAAAUAAGGAAGGCUUAAGCGUCCUCAGUGUGACAUUGUGCAUCGUGGUAAAAGUGUACAGUCUGAACAAAGAGCCGGCUUCUUUUUACCUUGACGGUUUUAAAACCUCUUUGGGGGUUUCUAACAUGUGGGAAAGUUUCAAAGCAAUCAUCCCAAAACAUCUCUAUGAAUCACCACUCAAUUUCUGUUACACUAAAAAGGAAGUGAAAGUAUGAAAGGACACAUAAUUUAUUCAAUGUCAUACAAUGAGGGAAGGGCAGAGAGGGGAUCGGGUGCAAAGACAGAACCCACAGCAUAGCCUCUCCGUUGCCUUGGUUAGAGGUGAAUUCUAAAAUCACUGCAGAAUUGCUAUCCAACCUUCUAGCUGAGUAGGUGAAUUAAGGAAUAAAUGUAGAUAAGCUAUUUUGUAGAUAAGCUAAAUUAAAUUAAUCAAACUAAAAUGUUGACUAGUGUCAUUACUAAUUUUAAUUUGCACUGUGCUUUUGACAUACUGUCUGGUGUUCCUUUGUGAAUCCUGCCCCACCCCACACACCCAACACUUACCUUCUUACAUCUUUAAAGUCUGUAGUUAAAAUGCUAAAAGAAGAAAUAGUAGCAUUCUUCACUCUCCAUCAUUGUUUGAGCACUGCUUCUUUGCCCUAGAAUUCUUAGGCAUUUAACUUGCAAAAUUCAUGGCUGUAUUUUGAACAGCUGUGUGUUUUUUUAUAUUAAGAAAUUCAUCUUUAGGUAGCCCAGAGCUAAGUCAAUCUGAAAUGAUCAAAAUAAAUUUGAUUUGCCUCCA